rnacentral:rRNA from 1 species
UACAGGGGGUGCAAACGUUGCUCGGAAUCAUUGGGCGUAAAGCGCACGUAGGCGGUUCGUUAUGUCGGAUGUGAAAGCCCUUGGCUUAACCGAGGAAGUGCAUCCGAAACUGGCGAGCUAGAGUACGAAAGAGGAUCGCGGAAUUCCCGGUGUAGAGGUGAAAUUCGUAGAUAUCGGGAGGAACACCGGUGGCGAAGGCGGCUCUCUGGGACGGUACUGACGCUGAGACGCGAAAGCGUGGGGAGCGAACAGG